rnacentral:ncRNA from 2 species
UGUCAAAGUGAAGAAAUUCAACCAAGCGC